GCAGUGGUGGCUCAGUGGUUAAAGGCUCUGGGUUACUGACCAGAAGGUCAGAUGUUCAAGCCCCAGCACUGCC